rnacentral:lncRNA from 1 species
AAAGACUAAGGAAAUGUUUCUCGUUUAUGUAGGUGAUCAAGAGCUCGUCUUAAAGGGUUACGUUGAUACAAGCUUUACCACUGAUCCAAAUGAAUCUAAGUCUCAAACAGGAUAUAUAUAUAUAUUCUAAAUGGGGAGUAGUAAGCUGGUGCAGUUCCAAGCAAAGCAUGGUAGCUGAUUCUACAUGCGAAGCGGAGUACAUAGUUGCCUCGGAGGUAGCAAAGGAAGGUUUCUGGAUCAAUCAGUUCAUGACAGAUCUUGGAGUUGUGCCCAGUGCACUGGACCCGAUGACUCUGUUCUGUGACAACACUGGUGCCAUUGCUCUAGCCAAAGAACCUUCACAAAAAGACCAGACACAUAAAGUGACGCUUCAAUUCCAUCCGCGAUGCUAUCAAGGAGGAGGAUAUAAACAUUUGCAAAGUGUAUACGGAUUUGAAUGUUGCAGAUCCGUUGCUAAACCUCUUCCACGAGCAAAGCAUGAUCAACACCAGAACUCUAUGGGUAUUAGAUUCAUUACCAUGUAAUACUAGAUUAUUGACUCUAGUGCAAGUGGGAGACUGUUGGAAAUAUGCCCUAGAGGCAAUAAUAAAGUGGUCAUUAUUACAUUUCCUUGUUCAUGAUAAUUGUUUAUUAUCCAUGUUAUAAUUGUAUUGACUGGAAACUUAAAUACAUGUGUGGAUACAUCUUUACCUAAUAAUAAAGAAAAUUGGGUUUCUGCCGUCUGUCGUCGGCACUUUUCCAGAAAAGUCCCCCAGUUUCUGAGAAUUCAACCCGCAGUCCUAUUUUAAGUGAGUAUCCGAGAAAACGCUUUGUUUUUGCAAAAAACACCCCCUGCACCGCUUAUCCAUUUGCGUUCUCCACCGCCGGGCAAGCGCUGCCGCUUGUUGUGUUAAAAAAAAGCGUUGCCGCUUGCCAUUGGCGUUCACGCCGCAAGAGCCAAGGAAGGGGUGAUGCAUCGCAGCGGGCAUCCACGCCGCCCGAGGCCAGGAAUGCGGCGAGCCGUCGCGACGGUCGUGCGUUCAUGCCGAAGCGAGAAGGAGGCCGGGUCGGCCUGCUGGUUUGCUGGGCGCUGGAGAGGCUCGUGGCAGGGAGCUCCUCUCCUCUGCUUUCGACGCGAGGCAGCUGAAGAGAUCGGGCUGCAGAGCUGCGGGCCGGGGGCCGAAGAAUGGCGCGGGCACUGGAUGGGACUUGUGCAGGUCUAGGCGAGAUGGGAAUGGCGUGGUGGGGUUCUAGACGCCGGCGGGUCCUUGGCCGGCGACGCUCGGGCAUCGGCCGGCCAAGGGCGUCUCUCUGAAGAAAAAUAGAAGACAGAGAGAGCUCUUAGAGAAAAGAAGCAUGGGAGAUAAGAGAGAUGGAGGAAGAAGGGGAGGGCUCACCCACGACGCGGAGGAGGACGCGCGAUUGAGGAAGCAGCAGGUCGUCGUCCACCACAUCGCCCAGUGCGAGGCUUCUCCCGACGCGGAACUGCCGCAGCUGUUGCUGCUGGCCAAGACACCCGCAUCCGCGCACUCCUCAUGGAGUCCUGCAGCGAAGGGAGGCGGGAGAGGGAGAGUGCCCUGGCUGGCAGGGAGGGGAGGAAGAAGGGGAGGAGUGGUGGUGGAGGAGCAAAGCAGUGAGAGGAUGCGGCUGGAUGAGGCCUGUGGCCUCUCGUAGUCAACGCGAGCCGCGAGUAGAGAAAGAGGGGAGAAUGAGCGACGCGGGAUCAACCGAACCUCUGGAGCAUGGAGCAGGUGGUGAAGGCUGUGCGGUUCGAAUCGGGUCCGAGGCGAGGCUGCUGGCCUGAUCAGGAGCACGGGGGCCGGCGACUGGGGCGGACGGCCAGAUCAGGCCGACGGCAGAGCAGCUCCAAGGCGCCAGCCAUGGCAUCCUCUGGGUUCCUCGCCGAUUAGGGGGUGCUUCCUGAAUAGCCACCACGGCCCCGCGGACGUGUCGCUAUUCUGGCUGGGUUGGACGGAGAAGAGGAAGAGCGCCAGAGCUGGGUUAGGAUGAGGAGGAAGAAUGGCGAUUUGGAUAAGAGGAGAGGAAUGGCAAUGAGAUAAGGCACAUAGUGGGCGGUCGGUGCUGUCCUCUGCUAGCACGCGAGGCGGCACCAAUGUCUUGUAACGGCUAGAAGCUACUAGAUGCACGCGUGCUAGCAUCGAUUUCUAUUUUCAGGAAGAGCACCGAUUAUUACUUGAUGUUGUUUGUUGUUAGUACUAUAUAUCAGAUAUUCCCUCUGUCCUAAAAUAAGUCUCUCACUACAAUUUUAUACACAAUUUUGUACUCCCUUCGUGUUUAAAUAUAAGUCUUUUUAGAAAUUUUAAUAUGGACUACAUACAGAUGCUUAUAGACAUAUUUUAGAAUGUAGUUUCACACAUUUUGCUCGGUAUGUAGUCCAUAUUAAGAUCUCCAAAAGGACUUAUAUUUAGGAACAGAUGGAAUACUAUAGUUAGUACAACGAGACAAUUAUUUUAAGACGGAUGGAGUACAAUAAUUAAAAGCGAGUGAAAUAUUGAAAAGAAAUAUUUCUUAAUAGAGAAGAUAUUUGAAGCAAGCCGGUACUUGCUAACCAUCAAGAUAUUCCUCAACUCUAGAUGUCAUUGAUAUCAUCGGUAAGAUAGGCAGGAUAGAGCGAGGGAUGAAGAAUCGAGAGAGGGCGACAAAGGUGCAUCUUGCUCGCACCAUGUUUCUCCCUCGCACGGCAGUUGGGAGGGUGGGCACUACCCUCUAUUGUACCAUCUGUCCCACAGUUCUGCAUACCCUAACCUGAUCUCAUCGGGGCCCGAUGAUAAUGUCCAGGGAAGUUGUCAUGUUGGCGUGGAGGGUGUGCUCCUACUGUUGGCAUCAACGUGUCAACAAAAGAGUGACAAGCAUUGUAAAUUCUUUACUAUCUGCUCAUCAUAUUUUUGAAGUGGUAAAGCAAAAUUAUGAAUUAAUGUUAAUAGGGAUUCCGAGAUAUAGGAGUUAAUAUAUGAUCUAUUUGAAACCGUUACAGCUAUGCGAAUGAUGCAUAAUUACUUUCGCAAUGAAGGAGUAGCCGCUGA